rnacentral:lncRNA from 1 species
CAUCAACUCAUUCAUUUCUUUGACAUCCUUAUAUUUCAAAUACUCGUCGCUGGACGUAAAUGAUGAAGAUAAAUUAUUAAAAAACGCUUCGGACGCAUGGAAUUUAUAUCUUUUUUUUUCACCAACUAUUGCAGAUCUUUUUGUUGCUUAUGAUUAUCAUGGUCUGACAUCUGUCACAAACUAUUUUUUCAAAGUGUGUAAAA